rnacentral:lncRNA from 1 species
AUGUAUUCUGGGACUAGUCAAUUGUUCAUGACUACAGGAAAACAUAAUUACAAGGAGGACUUGGCUCUGGUUUUGAAUCAGCCUGAAAUUGUAGGCAGAUCCCUUGACCCCCACCCUAGAUGUAAAGCCACAAGACCAAGAGAGGACACCAUCAAUGCCAACUCAUCAGAUGUAGAAAAACAAGGAGUUCCAUAUGUUUUACUUUUAUGACUUUAUGCAAUUAAAUGGAAAAGCUUGAAAUUUUAAUGGGCUCUUUAUUGUCUCACAAUUUUAUUUACUAUUUUCUUUAUACUAGAGAGUACUGAAUCUACUUUGACAACUUAAUUUUAUAUUUCCAUCAUGGAAUAACUAUUUCUAGGGUUUUAGAUAUUUCUAUCUCUAAUUGACACACAGUUUUUAAAAUGCAGAGGUUAGUCUUCUUCUGAAACUAACACUUUUCUGGGUAUCAGAUAAAAAUAGGAAUUUCCUCAUAAUUUUUGAUGGUUAUAAUGACAAAAGUUCGUGAUUUUUAGAGUAGUUAAAUUUCUUACAUAAUCUGAUUUAUUUUAUUUUUGAGCUUGGCCUAUCAUUUAGCUAUCACUUAAUUUCAUUUGUUUUUAUAAAAAUUUAAUUUUUUUUUUCAUUUUAGAAAUGGAGAAGGCACAUGUCAUCUCAUUCUCUGCUUCAGAACACAAAUGUACCAGGAGAAGAUAAAGGUAUGAAUAACUAUCUUGAUUUUAAAAAUCCCUCUGAGAGAGGUGUUUUUCAAACAUUUAAGAUUUUAGGUCUAAAUAAUUGGUAUUUUCACCUUUAGUGGGGUUGAUAAGGGACUAGGUGGAGAACAGAACUUACGUCUCAAGCACAAAUUCUGGUAUAGAAUCACUGACAGCAGGGGCUAGAGACUACUACAAGAAAUCAUCCAGUCAGUCACCAAGUAUUUAAUGAAGUUCUUUUAUAAAUGCUGAGCCAUGAUGACAACACAGAGAAUUAUUUGAAAGAAAGAAAAACAAUGAAGCAACUAGAAAAUGAAAAAGCACAAAGAAAGAAAGCUAAAAGUAGAAAUGUUUAGGCCCGAGGAUGUACAUAUGAAAACCUGGUUGUGGGCAUGGCAGUUGGGAAAGAGCCAGCUGCAAGAAAAUGAGAAAUACAUAGAGAGAUUCUUUUUCCAAAGGGAGAAGCUUGCUUAGCAUGCAUCAGACCAGAGGUAUUCCUGAGAACCUAUACUGGACAC